rnacentral:rRNA from 1 species
GGAGGGGUGCAAGCGUUAUCCGGAUUUAUUGGGUUUAAAGGGUACGUAGGCGGUAGAGUCAGUCAGUGGUGAAAGCCAACAGCUUAACUGUUGAACUGCCAUUGAUACUGCUUUACUUGAGUAUAGUCGAAGUAGGUGGAAUUCCACAUGUAGUGGUGAAAUGCAUAGAUAUGUGGAGGAACACCAAUAACGAAGGUAGCUUACUAGGCUAUUACUGACGCUGAGGUACGAAAGCGUGGGGAGCAAACGGGAUUAGAGACCCCGGUAGUCCACGCCGUAAACGAUGGUCACUCGAUGUAUAUAUUUAUAUAUGUGUCUUAGCGAAAGCGUUAAGUGACCCACCUGGGGAGUACGCUCGCAAGAGUG